rnacentral:rRNA from 1 species
UAGGGAAUCUUCCACAAUGGACGCAAGUCUGAUGGAGCAACGCCGCGUGAGUGAAGAAGGCUUUCGGGUCGUGAAACUCUGUUAUUGAAGAAGAACGUGUGUGACAGUAACUGGUCAUGCAGUGACGGUAUUCAAUCAGAAAGUCACGGCUAACUACGUGCCAGCAGCCGCGGUAAUACGUAGGUGGCAAGCGUUGUCCGGAUUUAUUGGGCGUAAAGCGAGUGCAGGCGGUCUUUUAAGUCUGAUGUGAAAGCCUUCGGCUUAACCGAAGAAGGGCA